rnacentral:rRNA from 1 species
AGCAGUCGCCACGGUAAUACGUAGGUGGCAAGCGUUGUCCGGAAUUAUUGGGCGUAAAGGGCUCGCAGGCGGUUUCUUAAGUCUGAUGUGAAAGCCCCCGGCUCAACCGGGGAGGGUCAUUGGAAACUGGGAAACUUGAGUGCAGAAGAGGAGAGUGGAAUUCCACGUGUAGCGGUGAAAUGCGUAGAGAUGUGGAGGAACACCAGUGGCGAAGGCGACUCUCUGGUCUGUAACUGACGCUGAGGAGCGAGAGCGUGGGGAGCGAACAGGAUUAGAUACCUGUAGUCCCUGUCUCUUAUACAC